CAAUAAGCGGAGGAAAAGAAACCAACAGGGAUUGCCUCAGUAACGGCGAGUGAAGCGGCAUCAGCUCAAAUUUGAAAUCUGGCACCUUUGGGGGCCCGAGUUGUAAUUUGGAGAGGAUACUUCGGGGGUGGCCACGGUGUAAGUCCCUUGGAACAGGGCGUCAUAGAGGGUGAGAAUCCCGUCUUGCACCGCGAUCCCUCCCCCGUGUGAAGUUCCUUCGACGAGUCGAGUUGUUUGGGAAUGCAGCUCUAAGUGGGUGGUAAAUUUCAUCUAAAGCUAAAUAUUGGCCGGAGACCGAUAGCGCACAAGUAGAGUGAUCGAAAGGUUAAAAGCACCUUGAAAAGGGAGUUAAAUAGCACGUGAAAUUGUUGAAAGGGAAGCGCUUGCAACCAGACUCGGUUCCGGGGGCUCAACGGACACCUGUUGCCCGUGUACUCCCCCGGAUUCCGGGCCAGCAUCAGUUUAGGCGGCCGGUCAAAGGCCUUGGGAAGGUAGUAUCCUCCGGGAUACCUUAUAGCCCUCGGUGCAAUGCGGCCAGCCCGGACUGAGGAACGCGCUUCGGCACGGAUGCUGGCAUAAUGGUUGUAAGCGGCCCGUCUUGAAACAC
rnacentral:rRNA from 1 species